rnacentral:rRNA from 1 species
UACGGAGGGUGCAAGCGUUAAUCGGAAUUACUGGGCGUAAAGCGCACGUAGGCGGUUUGGUAAGUUGGAUGUGAAAGCCCCGGGCUUAACCUGGGAAUUGCGUCCAAUACUGCCAGGCUAGAGUACGGUAGAGGGGGGUAGAAUUCCACGUGUAGCGGUGAAAUGCGUAGAGAUGUGGAGGAAUACCGGUGGCGAAGGCGGCCCCCUGGACUGAUACUGACGCUGAGGUGCGAAAGCGUGGGGAGCAAACAGG